rnacentral:tRNA from 1 species
UUAAAAAUAACCUAAAAUAAGCUUUGGGGCUCAUACCUCAAAAAAAAAAGAACCCCCUUUUUUUUAAA